UUCCGGUUGAUCCUGCCGGACCAGACUGCUAUCGGAUUGAUACUAAGCCAUGCGAGUCAUUGUAGCAAUACAAGGCAGACGGCUCAGUAACGCGUAGUCAACCUAACCUAUGGACGGGAAUAACCUCGGGAAACUGAGAAUAAUGCCCGAUAGAACACUAUAUCUGGAAUGGUUUGUGUUCCAAAUGAUUUAUCGCCGUAGGAUGGGACUGCGGCCUAUCAGUUUGUUGGUGAGGUAAUGGCCCACCAAGACUAUUACAGGUACGGGCUCUGAGAGGAGUAGCCCGGAGAUGGGUACUGAGACACGGACCCAGGCCCUAUGGGGCGCAGCAGGCGAGAAAACUUUGCAAUGUGCGAAAGCACGACAAGGUUAAUCCGAGUGGUUUGUGCUAAACGAACCUUUUGUCGGUCCUAGAAACACCGAUGAAUAAGGGGUGGGCAAGUUCUGGUGUCAGCCGCCGCGGUAAAACCAGCACCUCAAGUGGUCAGGAUGAUUAUUGGGCCUAAAGCAUCCGUAGCCGGCGCUAUAAGUUUUCGGUUAAAUCUGUACGCUCAACGUACAGGCUGCCGGGAAUACUGUAGCGCUAGGGAGUGGGAGAGGUAGACGGUACUCGGUAGGAAGGGGUAAAAUCCUUUGAUCUAUUGAUGACCACCUGUGGCGAAGGCGGUCUACCAGAACACGUCCGACGGUGAGGGAUGAAAGCUGGGGGAGCAAACCGGAUUAGAUACCCGGGUAGUCCCAGCUGUAAACUAUGCAAACUCAGUGAUGCAUUGGCUUGUGGCCAAUGCAGUGCUGCAGGGAAGCCGUUAAGUUUGCCGCCUGGGAAGUACGUACGCAAGUAUGAAACUUAAAGGAAUUGGCGGGGGAGCACCACAAGGGGUGAAGCCUGCGGUUCAAUUGGAUUCAACGCCGGA
rnacentral:rRNA from 2 species